GCCACGGUGGUCUAGCGGUCAGAACGCUGGCCUUGUAAUCCUGGGGUCUCGGGUUCGAUUCCCGGCGGUGCUC
rnacentral:tRNA from 1 species